UAAUACGAAGGGGGCUAGCGUUGUUCGGAAUUACUGGGCGUAAAGCGUGCGCAGGCGGCUUCUCAAGUCAGGGGUGAAAGCCCAGAGCUCAACUCUGGAAUUGCCUUUGAGACUGAGAGGCUUGAGUACGGGAGAGGUGAGUGGAAUUCCCAGUGUAGAGGUGAAAUUCGUAGAUAUUGGGAAGAACACCGGUGGCGAAGGCGGCUCACUGGCCCGAAACUGACGCUCAUGCACGACAGCGUGGGGAUCAAACAGGAUUAGAUACCCUGGUAGUCCACGCCGUAAACUAUGAACGCUAGCCGUUGGCAGGCUUGCCUGUCAGUGGCGCAGCUAACGCAUUAAGCGUUCCGCCUGGGGAGUACGGCCGCAAGGUU
rnacentral:rRNA from 1 species